CAACCUUGACUAGCAACAAAGCCG
rnacentral:siRNA from 1 species